rnacentral:rRNA from 1 species
UACGUAGGGGGCUAGCGUUGUCCGGAAUCAUUGGGCGUAAAGCGCGUGUAGGCGGUCCGGUAAGUCCGCUGUGAAAGUCGGGAGCUCAACCCUCGGAUGCCGGUGGAUACUGUCGGGCUUGAGUACGGAAGAGGCGAGUGGAAUUCCUGGUGUAGCGGUGAAAUGCGCAGAUAUCAGGAGGAACACCAAUUGCGAAGGCAGCUCGCUGGGACGUUACUGACGCUGAGACGCGAAAGCGUGGGGAGCAAACAGG